UCCCCGCCGGCACCGAGCGCGGCCAGGACGGCACGGGGCGCCGAGGCCGGGCAGGGGCGGCGAACCAUCAUCCAUGCCAAUUCAAGAAAAGGCUGAAGAAUUGGCAGUGAAAUGCCACCUCUACUACCACAGAGGAAGUGCAAAACUGCUCUAACUGGAAUGCUAUACAUAGAAAGCACUUACAUCAUAUCCUCUGAGAACAGCCAGGUGGAAUGAAAGCAACUGGAG